CCAAACUUCAACAAAACCAGUGCUUCGAAAAAUUUCAUCCAUCAAUGGCUACAAUAUUAGCACCUUUGUUUUUUUUCUUCCACAUCUUCUUAUUCUUCUCAAAAUUCAACAAAAACCCACACUUCUUUAAAUAUAAAAGAACCAUAAUCAGAAUCAGAAGUUUAACAUGGCUAAAUCUACAACAACCAUUCUCACUACCGGUUACUGCCCUCUUACUGUCAUCGCCUCAUCGUCACCAUGUCUUGCACAACGCUUGUUCAACAGCAUCAUCGUCUCUUGCUCCACGCUCGUUUGUCAUCGUCGCAGCUUCCUAAUCGAUCUUUCUCAUCAUUGCCGUCUCCAGAAUCGUCACCGCCACCAGCAGCAUCCUUGCCGCCUCCAGCAGCCUCUUCGUCACUCAUCGUUGCUGCCUCUCACAGUCUCGUCGUCGUCACCGCAUCAAUCUCUCCUUCUGUCGUGGCCACCUCGCAUUUGUUGCCAUCUUUUGUACUAAAUCCGUUUCUCUUAUUAACAUUUUGGGAUUUAAAGUUUGUUCAAUUUUUUUUGGCAAUAUAAAUUCUGAGUAUGAUUUGCUUAAGUAAAUUGAUUGACAAUUUAACUUUUUUUUGUUGUUAUUAGUGGUGGUGAUAGUAUAAGUAAUGGGAAGGACCUUUCAGAUUCUAAGUAUUUUGAGUACUUUUACAUUGAAAUUUUU
rnacentral:lncRNA from 1 species